GAAAUGCGAUAAGUAAUGUGAAUUGCAGAAUUCAGUGAAUCAUCGAAUCUUUGAACGCACCUUGCACCUCUUGGUAUUCCGAGAGGUACAUCUGUUUGAGUGUCAUGAAUACCUCAACCUCUACAUUUUCUUGCAAAGUGUAUGAGCGUUGGAUGUUGAGUGUCUGCUGUGCUUUGGCUCAGCUCGCUUCAAAUGCAUAAGCAAUCUUGUAACGGUUCGGAUUGACUUGACGUGAUAAGAUCUUCGUUGAGGAUGCUUCUUAGCAGCCGAUCCAUAUAGGUAGCUUCAAACCCUGCUGUGACUUCUGGUCGCACCAACCCCUUUACAUUUAGACCUCAAAUCAGAUGGGACUACCCGCUGAACUUAA
rnacentral:misc_RNA from 1 species